rnacentral:rRNA from 1 species
ACAUGCGACCACAGGAUACUUAAAAGUGGCUAACCCGUCAGAUCUAGCAUACACAAAAAGUUUACCGGCACGUUAGUAGUCAGGUGGGUGACCACUGGCGAAUCCGUGCUGUUGCAUGUU